UAGCACCUCCAUGAUAAAAUGUUAUGUUCAAAAUGUAGGAACAGAGAACUUCAUCUGAAAAUAAAAACCACAUCUGCAUAAUGCUGCAUAAUUCUUCUGGAGGUAUAGUAGGGGAAAGCCUUUCUCUCACUAGAAUCUCAUUAACCAUUGAUCUAAAAUGUUCUAUUGGCAACGUCCUGUGUUUUGUCUUUAUGUUGGUUCGUCACUUUGUGUCAUCAUUGGAUAUUGUAAGUUCAGGUAUCUUAAAAUGGUUGUGAUCAUUUGUUUUUGUUUCACGAUCAGUUAAGAUAUUAACCCCUAAUAAUGUCAGUUUUCCCUGAAAAUCAUUUUUUAAAUAUAUUCAUUGCUUUUUUUUCAGUGUGUGAAUUUUAUUUAGAAGAAAAAUCAAAAUUAUUACAAGUGGAUAUAUAAAAUCAAAUUCUUUGGCAUGAUUUGGGAGUACCGGGUAUAUGUAUAAUUGGAAUACGAGUUAUUCAUUCAUUUUUGGUGUGUUCUGGGGUUCCCUUAUUUUUCUUCAUUUGUAAUGAAAAAUCGAAUGACUUGCAAUUCUUAUGAGAUAUGUUGUCUUUCAGAAAGUAAAACUAAUGUAAUUUUGAAGGGAAAAAAUUGUCUUGGUAACUGAAUACACAAAUCCCCUAGUACAUGUAUGAAUGCUCUAGUAGAUUUAAUCUGUGAUUACUUUUUUAUGUAUAAAGCAUGUCAUUUUAUACUUUGUACAAUUAUGAAUUAAUACCAUGUAGUGGAUGAUAAUAGAAGUCAAGCAAAUGCUUUGAUCUGCUAUAUGUAUGAAGACGAUUGUCACAAGCUAGUCAUUUUAUUGAAGUAAUGGUCUCACAAUGUAUCAUGUCAGUGUAGACAAUUUCAAUAUACUUAUACAUGUACACUUAUUUUAAAGAACUCAUCUUUAUAAUAUCUUUGCCACCUAUAUAUAAUCAUUUUCAAUGAAAUCACAUUUUUUCUUCUUUUUUUUUCCUAAAGUGAUUUUUACAUCAGUAUUAAUUGAUGUUUCAUAAAUAGAGCUAAGUAUAUGUAUUUAUUGUUUGAUAGUAAGGUUUGGUUUGUUCUACAAGAGGAAACAUAAUUUUUUAUUGAAAGCAUGUUUUGAUUUUUUCAUUUUUGUGUAUUUUUAUACAAGGGUCCAAGUUUGAUACGUUGGAAGGGUGUUUGCAAUUUAAAAACAAAAUUUAUAAAUACAACAAAUGCUUAAUAUCUCUUGAAGAUUAGAAAUGAAGAUUAAUUAUAACUGUUUUGAUGUGGUUGUCAAUGUCUGAAAAACCCAGAUUUCUGCUUAAGAUCCCAAUCCCAUCUCCCAGGAUUUUUAUUUUAAUUUUUUUGGGGGGAGGGGGGGGAUAUGCAUGCAAUUCUUCCUACAAAGCUUUAUUUUAUCAGCUGCAUGUGUAAUGUCCAAGUUCUUUAGUGGUAAUUUAUACAUGUAUGUAUUUGUUACUCUGACUGAUGCAAAAGUUUUAAGAAAGAAUAAAAGCUGGUCGUAGUAGUUAUGUUUUUUUUGAUUUUGGAAUAUAAAAAAUUUUCAUGUGUGAAAUGUUAAAAUAGAGUUGACUCAAAAAUUUUCAUUCAGAUUUUCUUACCUUCCAUGUUUUGAAAACAAGUUUUGUGCCAGUAUUAAUGAUGCAGGCAUUUUGUACAUGUGUAUACAAGUCUUGUUGAAUGAUGAUUUUAGGUUUCUAAUUGUGGAACAAUUUUUGUACCGUUUUAUUUGUUGAAUCGUUUGUGCUUUUACUUGUAGGGCUGCUUGCCAGUGUCAAUAAAAAAAGAAAAGUU
rnacentral:sRNA from 1 species